rnacentral:rRNA from 1 species
AGCAGCCGCGGUAAUUCCAGCUCCAAUAGCGUAUAUUAAAGUUGUUGCAGUUAAAAAGCUCGUAGUUGAAUUUCGGGAUCAAUGUUUCGGUCAUGCCGUUGGUAUGUACUGAUAUUAUUGAUUUCUCACCUUCUAAAGAACCGUAAUGCCAUUAAUUUGGUGUCACGGGGAAUUAGGACUGUUACCUUGAAAAAUUAGAGUGUUUAAAGCAGGCUCACGCUUGAAUACAUUAGCAUGGAAUAAUGAAAUAGGACAUCCGAUUCUAUUUUGUUGGUUUCUAGGAUCGAUGUAAUGAUUAAUAGGGAUAGUUGGGGGCAUUAGUAUUCAAUUGUCAGAGGUGAAAUUCUUGGAUUUAUUGAAGACUAACUACUGCGAAAGCAUUUGCCAAGGAUGUUUUCAUUAAUCAAGAACGAAAGUUAGGGGAUCGAAGACGAUCAGAUACCGUCGUAGUCUUAACCAUAAACUAUGCCGACUAGGGAUC